UCUCUCUAAGGUAUGUUUUUCUAUUGUUUUGUUAUGAUUGAUGUUGCUACGAGCAACUAAACUUAUUUAUUAUGGUUCCAAGAUGAACCUCUUCUUGUUUGUUGAAUCUUAUUAAUAAAGUUUUUCACUUAGUUUAUGUUUUCAAUUGGUUAAUCUGAAUGAUAAUCUUGAAGAAUGAUAUGUAGAUUAAAAGUAGGCACUGACAACUCAAAAUUAUAUUUGUUCUUUAACUGUUCUGAUCACUUGUUUCUUAAAUUGGUUAAUGAAAUUCAAGUUUGAAAUCUUACAUUGGGUAGGGCAACUCAACCCUGCAAUUUUAUUCAAUUCUAUUUUACUUUCAACCUUUGAAAUAAGUCUUAUUAAUUAUUAAGUUGAAUGAGGAGAACGAAAAACUUACUACUUUUUUACUUGUUACGAUUUGAUGCAGUUGCUAAUUUCGUCUAUAGCACUAAUGAUCAAUUUACAUUUUAGAUGGGAAUUAAACUCUGUCAUUUAAAAUAACGUGUCAUGGUAGAGGAUAAAAUCAAUAUGUAAUCCUAAUAUUUUAAAUUUGUUCUUGUAGAUGUCAACUGAGAUGUGAUGUGUUUGAUGGAGCAAGUUCCCGAAUGGUUGAAGUGUGAAAUCACCAGUAUGAUGCCUCCCAUAGUUGAGGUCGGGGAAAAUAAUUUCAUUUGGUAGUUCACUUCUAAUGGAGAAUUUUAACUACAUUUUUUUAGAACUAAAAAAGUUUUUUUUUUGAAAGAUAACUAAAAAAGCUUUUUUUUUUUGAAGGAGAAAACUUAAAAAGUUGAUUAGUGACUAAAUUGGAUUUAUAUAUUUUGCUAAUUAAUCAGAACCAAAUCAAUCUAUUGACAAAUAAACUUGUUGCACUUUUGCAUCAAUCUGGUUGUCAUUUUCUACAAUUUAACAUAAAUUAAACAAAUUUAAGCAUUUUCCACUCUCAUUUUCCCAUCAUAUACCAACCUACCUAGUACCUACCAUCGAUCAAUAAUAAUAUAAUUUAAGACAUAUAAUAAAAUUAAACAACAUAUAUAUAAGCAACAAUAUAUAUAAUUAUCAAAUACAUAAUACAAAUAAAUUAAAAGAUAUGAAACUAAUUUUCAGCAUCGCCAUGCAGAAGCAGCGAUAAUGGCUCUGUCUUGCCACCCAAGCAACAAACAACCUUUAUCCUCAGUUAACCUAUAACCAUCACAUGAAUACAAACCCAAUAAUAUUCUUGACUGAGUCACUGCAUUAGGACUUAGAGGCACUCCUUUGAACCCUUUCCCUUCCAUUAUCUUCCUCCAUUUCUCCAACCUCUCAUGUCUCUCUAUUCUUUCCUCACCUUCACAUGCCACGAUGUUCCGAAUCUCCGGUGCAAAUAUAUACUGCUCUACCUUAGCCCUUGGUGCUGAUUCCACAGGAAAAGUGGCGUCCAAGGAGUCGAAAAUUGCGGAGUAGUAAUGCAAAGCCUCGAGAAAUCGGCCCAAAAAGUACGGUCCGUUAUGGCUUGCUUCUUGCUCUACAAGUGUUACUAUGUUUGGUGCUUGGUCUCUUAUCAUGGACAACAAGUUCCCGAGAUGAUUCCCGGGAACACGGUGGAGACGGUUAACGGUGUUAACCGCCAAAGCCUCGCCUACACGGCGGUUAAACAUGUGUGGUUUAAGAUCUUCAAGUUGUUCUCCAACAGGGUGGAAUUCAAAGGGGAUACGAAGAGAAUGAGCUAAUUCCGUUAAGCAUCGUCCGGUUUCCCUAACUGAUUCGAUGCACGGCCCUACUCCAGUGAUCCGGAGGAACGGAGCACCUCCGGGCCGUGCAGCCAAUGCCUGCAUGAAUGCAGGCCAUUGGUAGCCUUGAAGGAUAUCAAGGUCGAUGACAUGGACACGCUCUUCAGCCUCAAACGCCUCGAAAAUGGCUUGGUUAGCGGUAAAGUGUGCGAAUUUGAUGUAAGGGCAAGCUUGGUAGACAAUUUGGUAUAUCUUGAGGACUUCCAUAGGGUUUGAUGGGAAGGUAGAUAAACAUGAUGAUGAGGAUGACGAUGAUAACGAUGAUGGUGCUAACUUUUUUGUUGAUGAUGACUUGGUGGUUAGGGUUGCAGCAAGUCUUGCACUUAGAGAUUCUGUGAAACAUGAAGCUACUCGUUGCAUGGAGUCACCUAGUGGUGUUACUACUCUAUUGAGCUGGUGUAGGUACCUUCUUGCUAGCAUGUAUUCACCUUUUGCCACUGCUUCAGCACAUGCUAGAAGCAAGUGCACUAAUUGAAGUCCACUGUCUUGCUCCUACAUAUAUUAGAUAUAUAUCUUUUAAGUUCAUAAAUCUUCAAAAGAAAUCUAGUAAAUUGCUUAAAAUUAUAUUUUUCUAGAUCAUGAUUAUUCAGAUGUACAUCAAGCAUUAAACAAUUAUUACAAAAAUCGAAGGCAGGCGGGCAAUAAGCUGCGCUGGUAAUCCUUUCUGGAUGACAUAACCAAUAUCAUAAAUACAACGUCCAUAGACAUAGAAGACACGACAUUAUUAUGCAUGACCUUACGAACUCUUUUUGGAUGUACAUCUUAUAAUAGAUUGUCUAUUGAUUAUGUUAAUUUAUUCAGUUAGGGAUGGGAUAAAAAACUUCAAAUUGGAAUUAAUUAAGAUUUUAGGUGAACAAAGACAAAGGAAAGAUUUUAUUACCUGCUCAAUUCCAAUUUGAAUAGGAACUGUUAGACUCUGUUGUUGAGCUUGCAUCUUUUGAUGUUUCUCUUGGUACCUUUCUUGUUGUAAAGCUUGUGAAAGAGAAGCACUAGCCAUAGAUCCCAUUUGAUGAUAAAUAUCACUCUCUUGAGAAAUUUGAGAAGAAGAAUUACCACCAUGUAAAAGAGUGGAUUCUUCAUUAACAGAAGCACCAUAGCUUGAAGAAUUUUGCAUUGUUAAACUAUCCAAAAUUGUUGAUAUUGGAGUUUCCAUGUCAAAACAUUCAGAAGAAACCUUUGUUGAUGAAAAAUGAUCAACAUCACCUUGAAAAUCUUCCAAGAACUCUUCAAUAGCUGGCAAUGAAAGAUUCUCAACAUGUUGCAUAUAUUGAUUAUUUGGUGAAUUAAAUACUCUAUGAAGUGGACUAAGUCCUUUCCCUUUUUGUUGGUUAUUACUAUUCAAUGAACCAAUUUGUGAUGCAAAACGAGGUGGUGAACAACCUGAUAGGCUUUGAAUUUGCAUGCCUUGAGCAUAGUUAUAGUUACAAUUAUUGUAAGUAGAAGCUUGAGGUGAAUUAGGGUUAAUGUUUCUAAUUGGUGAUGAUAUCAUGAAAUCAUUAUCUAAAUGGUCAUUGAAAAAUGCUUCCCACAUUGAACUAUCUGGUGAUUGGACUUCCACAUCACCAUCUAAAUCAAAUUUGAGAGAUGGUAAGUUUAGGCUUUGUGGAGUAAGAACAUUAAUUUGCUCUAAAUCACCACAAGAAUUUGUGGCAUUUUUCUUUGAGUGUGUAUUUGUUUGAUUUGAAGAAUUGGGUUGAAGACAUUUUUCUUUGAGGGAAUUUGAGCUUCCACAAAGUGAAUUGAUCAUUUUUUUCCCACCCUUUUUUAUUUGUUAAAUUUCUUUGCUCACUCUUAAUAGAACAAAAAUAUGAUAAGCUAUUAUUUUGUGAAAAUGCUUUUGCUUCUUUUGAAUCUAAAAUUCUAAGCAAGUGAAAUUUUCACUAAGGCUCUUAGGAUAUACUAGUCUUGUGGACUAUGGUUGGUUUAUGGAAAGAGCAAUGUCUAUGUUUUCUCCCUUUUUAUUUAGAUGGAAUGUAAAUGAGUACAAAUUUUAUGAGAAAAUUAUGAUAGGAAGAGACAACACUUAAUUCCAAGAGUGUGAUUGGAAGUUUGUUUUUGAUUAUCUCAUUUCAUGUAGUGUUAAGAGAGUGUGCUGGAUUUUCAGAGGCUUAUUUUUUGUCAUUUAUAAACCUGUUUUAACUGUUUCUAAAAGAGGACAAAAACCUGUUUGAGUAGACCCCACUUUAUUUGGGCCGGCCCAUCUAUUUACAAGGUUCUUUUUAUACCCACCUUUGCAAUAAAAAAAAUCACCUAUAAACAUGAAAUAAUACUAUGAGCUAUUAUACAGGUAAAUAGGUUGCUUGGAACAGGUGAAACUUGCACCUAAAUAAUAACGUUACAACUGUAAUAUGAAAGAUAUUUUCUAUUUUUUUAUUAACUCUUCGGUUUUCAGGAAAAAUGAUGAUGAUUUUGUGAUUGUUUUAACUUUUAAUUUUUUAUUUUAAGAGGUUUUAAAUAGUUAGAACGUAACUUUAUAACCCUAAAUGAAAGAGUUUGAAUCCCACCUUAAGAGUUGUAAUAUGACAAUUAGUAUCACGAUUAUUAAUAAAAUUUACUCUUUCCCAAUUUUUUUUUGUUUUAAAAUAUUAUUUUUUAAAAUAGAAUUCUUAGCUUUGAUCCAUUAAAAUAGAAUCAUUUACUUUUCUCCCUAAUUACUUUGGUUUUGGUCUCUAUAAUAUUUAAUUUAUAUUUUCAUUAUAAUAUGUGAAUUAAGAUCGAUGAAGAUUGACUCGGUUGAUAAAUAUUCAAUUCAUAUUACAGAUGGAUGUGGGUUCAAAUUUUGUGUACUAUGUAAAGACUUUACGAGUAAAGAUUUAACUCAUUUAAUCUUUAUGAUUUUCUAGACCUGGAGGGCAACUGAGAUGCAACUCAUCUGAAUUUUUUUCUAGUAAAUCAAAAUAAAUAUGAACGCAAGAUAUGGGGCAAAGUGAACGUGGAAACUCAAUUCAAAUUUAUUAUUGGCACUAAAACACACUUUUAAAAAGGGAUUUCGAUUAAUUGCGAUUUUGGUUAACUUAUUUUCAUUAGGAAAAUUGGUCCUUUUUUUAAUCAAAAAGUUUUUGGUUCCUUGGUUAGGAAUAAAAAUCAGAAUACAGUGAUGUGGCAAUUUUUUAUUGACCUGGCAUAAAAUAUUGUGAUGUGAUAUCAUUCAAAUCAAUUUAUAAUAUACAGAUUUUAUGUCAUGUCAAUAAAGAGUAUGUCCAUAAAUACUUUUUGUUUCUAAAAUCUUGAAUGAGAAACUAAAAAAUUGAUCUUAAAAGGAAAAUUAAUUCCAUAAACGAAUGAAAAUAGAGGGACUAAACUUGCGACCAAAUCAAAAUUUUUAAAUGUAACAAAAAAUAAUCAAAAGAUUUUAAAGGCAUGCUCUUGAUAUUGAAAUAAUAUAACAUGUCAAAACUUUUCUUAUUACUAUAAAAAAAAAAAAAAAUCUUACAAAUCAACAACAAUACAAAUAAUAUAUAUUUUUGGUAGAAGACAAAUAAUAAAAAAAAAUAAUUGAAAAAAGUUUAAUUGAGUUAGAUUUCAGGAUUCAUCAGGGUUGGAACACACCUCAAAGCUCAAUAGUAUAUAUAAAGAUACUUACAAAUUAUCCAUCAACGAUUGAAAUUGAACUCGCGCCUUUGUUAGAUUUAGACAAACUCCUUACCAACCAAAAUAGCCUUAAUAGACUAUAAAAUAUACACUUUAGUAUGUUCAUCUAUGAGUUCAUCAUUGCAUCAUAACCAUGUUAAAAAAAAGUCCAUAAAAUACUACUCCCUCCAUAUUUUAGUAUAAGUCAUUUUAGAAAGAAAAAAAUGUUUUGAUUUAAUUAUAAGUCGCUUUACAAUAUUAUUACAUCAUUAAUGAAUUUUUUUCAUAUCUUUAUCAUUUAGUACUAUUGUUUCUUUCCAUUAUUUUAAUAUCUUUUUCACAUCAUUAAUAAAAAAUAAUUUUAUAAAAUCAUUCACAAUUUUUUUUUCGAAUACAAAUUUACCACAUUUUUAAAUAUGUGUAAAAAUAUCAAAAUAACUUAUAAUAAAAUACGGAGGAAAUAGCUAAUAUUAUAAUGGUAUGGGUACGCAUAAUAUUAUUUUUUUUAGUCGCACACAAUGAAAUAAUAUUAAAGUAGGGUAUCGUGUUGACAAUUUCUUGGAAAAAUCAAGGAAGAAUAAAUAAUAUAAAAGAGAAAAUGAAAGGUGGUAAAAAGGACAAGAAAAGGGACAUAAACAACGUCGUCGGUGGGCCGCCCUUAAACCUUUGGAUUUCCCAAAGGAAUGAAGUGCUUGUCCAAACCAUUUUCCUUUCUUCGGCGGCAUCUAUUUAUCUCAAUGUGUCAAGAAUUUUUGGUUAUGAAUUUCUCCUUCAUAUACAAUAUUAAAAUAAAAGUCGCAUGAUGAUGAUGAUGAAUAUACUCCUACACUUUUUAAAUAUUCCAUUACAUUUCUCAAAAUAUCUUUAUACCAAUGUUGGUGUUAAUGUUAACCCUUCAUUUUAUAAAAUCUAAUUCUCAUAAAUCCUAACUCAAUUGGUAAAAAUGUCAAAAUUAUUAGGUUAGACGUAAUGACUGGGGUUUAAAACCCGACAUCUCCACUUUGCAUGUGUAAAUUUAGGAUUGCUUUGUUUAAAUUCUGGUAGUCUAACUGUAUACAUAUAUUGGACUAGCCUAAAAUUUGUCUUUUUAAAACAUAUUAGAUGUAAACUGGUAUAAAUUUCUGAUUUCUUUUUUACCACUCUAUUGAUUUCUCAUGCAUUCUAUAAAGUUCAAAUUAUACUCUCUCCGUCCUUAUAUUUAAGCACUCUUUUAUUAGAGGGAAAGAGUGUUUACAUAUAGGGACAGAGGGAGUAGUAUCCAAAUGGUAUUUUGGAUUUUAGUAUCCGAAUAGAACGUGCGAGAAACUAAUAAGAUGAAAGAAGUAAUAGUCUAAAUUUCUUGGUAUACACUUGUUAAAAUAGUGUAUACUCUGUGGCAUAUUAAAAUUUUAAUAUAUGUAAUAACAAAUUUCUCUCUAUGCAAAAUGAAGUUUUAGAAUCAGAAUAGUCAUUACCUCAAUUAAAAUGUCAAGUUAUUAUUAAAACCACAAAAGCAAAGGUGUUAAGUUGGUAUUGUAUUCAUCAAAUUAACUAAACACAUUGAAAUCAUUGAUUGAAGGAAACAAUUUUAUUGGAGUAUGAAGGCAAAAUUGAUAAGCCUUGUUUAAAAUCAUAAUAAACUAUACAACUCUUCAUUGAAAUUACACUUCCAUUUAGCAAUCACAAAUUGCCAAGACUUCUAUGUGAAUUUCAAACUAAUUCUUACUCAAGUAGCUUGAAGUUGCUUUGUUUAUCAAAACGCUUCUAGGUAAGAAAACUUUCUAACGAAAUUAUAUGUGCUUAAAUGUUGAGUAUCUAUGUAUGUAUACAUGUUUGUUUGAUCUCUAAAUGUUUGUAGAUUAUCAAGUAAUAGAAUGUAAGUAGAUUAUCGUAUCCACAGGGAUUAUCGUUCAAACUAAGCAAUUUGCGUUACUUAUUUGGUAACAAUAAAGCAAUAAAUAAAAACAAUAAAAUAAGAGAUAAAGGGGGGAUUGCAGUUUAGCUGUUUGCACAGAGCAAGAGUUUAAGAGUAACUUGUUUUGAUUGCAGAUUUCUACACGUGAGGCCUUACUUUCUUAGAGGUCCUGCUUUAUUCCCCUUCGGCUGUCGAAUUGCAACCUUACACUACAAGAGUUUUCCCUGGCAGAAUUAAACCCUCGGUAAUGAAAAAAAUCCCUCAGUAAUAUACAUUACUGAGGGAUUGGUGACAAAAUAUAUUUGUCAGUAAUACUGGCGUCAGUAAAGUUAUUGGCCGAAUUUUCCCUCAAUAAUAGACUAGUUGAUCUGACAAAGCAUUACUGAGGGAUUUUUCCCUUAGUAGUUACUGGAGGAACAAUUUGCUUGUAAUUACUGCCAGAAUAAUCUGUCAGUAAUGCACCAUCUGAUUUGACCUAAUAUUACUAAGGGAAUUUUCCGCCAAUAAUGUUUAUGCAGAUCUGCAUUAUUGAGGAAAAUUUCCGCAAAGUAAUGCACUUUCCAUUUUUUUUAUUUUAAUUAAAGAUAUAACAUUAAUUAAAUAUAAAUAAAUUAAAGAAAUAAAAUUUAUAUUUAAUAGGUGAUGACAUGUCAUCUUACGUUAUUCUUAGCAUGUUUUUUCAGUUAUUUUCAGUAGGUUUCAGCAGCAAAAAGGAGGAGUAUUGGAACGAUUGUCUAUGAUUUCAGGACUUUUGUAAUGUUUUCUAUAUUUGAGUUUGUAAUUAUAGUUUUCCCGAAACAUAGCAAUUAUAUGAGGUUUUUGAAGUAAUUCACGAAGAAAUCAUGCAAAUCGGCAUAUCAAGAACAUCUGAAGAAUUGUGAAGAUUCAGGAAGUCAAAGAACGAAGAUUGAAGAGGCCUCAGGAGACUUACAACUUGGAGGAUUCUGCUCAUAAGUAAGUGAUUAUUAACUAACGAAAGAGACCAAAAGAGAGUUGACCCUAGUUGUAGGUGUAACACCCUAAUUCCCGACGAUAAUUAUUAAAUAAUAAAAAUAUAUUUAAUAGAGAGGAUGUUACAAAUUCAUCAUUAAUCAUAUAAAAGCAUUACCAAUUCUUUUAUAGUAAAGAUUGUCAAACUGAGGAAAACAAUUCACUGAUUGUAUUAAUAAAAUUACUCACGUUAUUUAACAUCAUAAUAGGAAAGUAACAAAGUUUCCAAGAUUCAACUCAAACUACAAUUAAAAAUUAAAUCACCAACCCCACCCUAGUGUUACAAUAUCAGAGCUCGUAGCGACUACAACUUAUUCAACUACUAAAUAACAGAACUAGGCGGAGGGCAUCCCAUCAUCUCCAUCCUCUAAAACGUCCCACAGCUACUCCUUGUCAACCUGAGUAUCUAUACUCAAGGUACAAUCACCGUACACGAAACAACACAACAAAAUAAAGGGUGAGAAAUCAUGCCAUAACAUAAUAAUAGAGAAAAGCAUGCACAUUAAAUAAAUAUCAAAAGAAUAUAGUUUCCACUAUCUCAAGAUUCUCAACAGUUACUAUGUAUAAUCUCUUCAUUUUACAUGUCACAGCUGCACAUCAUAUUCACAUUCAAACACCCAAAUUAACAUCAUCAUAUAUAAGCAUAUGGACUCUCUUAAUGAGCUAUAUGAUUGUGGUCCCACACCUAUCGUCAUAAUUUGCCAGAGGUAUGUUACUGGAUUUUCAUCGUCAUAAUUUGCCAGAGAUAUGUUAUUGGACUUUCAUCGUCAUUUCGUCAUCAUGAUUCCUCGACACGACUCUAUAUGCAUGAAUGAGACAGACUCUUCAAGUAUUAAAAGAUCAUAACAUCAUCAACAAAUCAGAAUCAUAAAUGCAGACUCUUCCUAUUAUGCACAACAUCAAGACAAACAUAUCAUCAUCAUUCACAUCGUCAUCAUAAGUAAACAUCGUCAUUCUCAUCAUCAAUGUAUAUUAGACACCAUCAUUCAAGUCAUCAUCAUAAUUAUACGUCAUCAUUCUCAUCGUCAAUAUAUAUAUACCACCCUCAUCAUCAUCAUAGAUAAACAUCAUUACUCUUAUCAUCAUACUGAUAUAGUUAUCGUCAUCCUCAUCAUCACUAACAUAUAAACAUUAUCAUUUCUCAUUGAUGACAGUUAGUCAUUCGUUAUUUUUAGAGUCUUUUUAUGUAAUUUUUGAGUUCACAAGCAAGCUUAAGCAGCAAGAAAACCAAGAAAAACUGAAGAAACUAAAAAAAGGGCAUCGUGUCACUAUUAACUGAAAAACGUGUCACGAUUUGAAGCUUUCAAGAAAAAUGCAUUCGACAUUGGUGAAAACGUGUCACGAUGGCAAAAACGUGACACAAUUAUGGAAACCCUAAUUUGUGUGGUUUGUUACACAAGAAGAAACGUGUCACGAUUUACUUAAAUAGUGCCACGAUUUUAGGAGUAGUUGUUGACUAUUUAAGCUGAAGACUAUUCUGAACACAAGGGUUACGAUUUGGAGAGAGCAAAGUGCGAUUUUGAGACUACAAGACGGCUAGAAGGGCGAUUUCUUCACUCUUUUACCAAUUCAUGUAUGUAUUGAUUCCUCUAAUAAUUAUGUUAUUUGUAAACACCAUUAUGAGUAGCUAAAUCCAUUAGAGGUUAGGUCUGAGAUGAUUCUUUGUAACCCUAAUUGAAAGAUGUUGCCGUGAAACUCUAUUUAUUGUCAAUGACAAUCUAGUUUUUAUUCAAUUCAAUUCCCUAGCUCAAGCUUCACUUUAGCUCCUAGGUUCUCUCCUCUUCUUGAAUCUUCAAGUUUCUCCUUCUCUAACCCUUUUCCUCUUUGCUCCCACUUUCUCUCUCUCUCUCUCUCUCAAAAUAUCUAUGUAAAUGAAAGUGUGUAGGAAAUUUCCUCUAAGACAAAACUUAUAUAGGAUAUCCCUCUGAUGGGCCUAACCCUAAAGCUUAGUGGACUUAACCCACUCCAACUCAAAUCUAAAAUGUUUCUACACUCACAACGGUAAAAUACUAUUAACGGUCACUUAACAGUAAAAUACUACCAACGGUCACUUAACGGUAAAGUACUAAUUACUACCCUAGUAACUUAGCAAAAAUAACGGUUCUCACUAACCACUAAAAUAAUUCUCACCAAAAUUACUAAUUUACUCUUACACCCAAAGGCUAAAUUAAUCCAAUGGUCCCUCAACUAAUUUCCGGUUUUCAUUUUGGUCCCAUAAGUCAUAAAAUCAUCAAUUUGCUCCCUCAACUUUUGCUCCUUUAUUCAAAAAGGUCCCUGAUUGUUAACUUUAACAUUAAAUAUCUCAAGUGGAACACAAACAAUGUUUGCCCUAGCAGAGCGUUCUCUCUGAGCAAAAGAUUAUCAACUUUUUCGAAAUCUUACGUGAAAUAUAGAAGGAGAAUGAAGAAUUCAUCUACAUAGUCAUACAGUGUCUUUAUUUAUUAUAGUAGGUAAUUAUGAUUACACCAUGAUAUUAUUGUUUUCCAUUUCUUAUAUGAGUUCAUGAUGGCAAACAUAGUUGCAUAAUAUAAUAAUACAUAUGAUCUUUUCAUUGAAAUCAACUGGGAACAACAUCUGGAUCUAUAUCGUACUCAAUAGUGCAUUGACAAGAUAAAUUAAUGCACUUCAGAGUUAGAUCAGUUGGACACAUAUCUGGUGGACAUUCAGGGGUAAAUAGGCAUGGAGGAGCAUCUGGGAGGCCUAACAAGAACAAAAUAAAUGUUAAUAUAGGUGAUGGAAUAUUAUAUAUAAGUUAAAUUAUAAAUUUGAAAAUGAUAUGAAACAUUACUCACUUCCAUUGGUUGUGACCAGAAAUAGGGAAACAAAGAUGAGCAAAGCAUAAAAGAAACUUAGGAUUCGAGCCAUAAUUUUUUCUCUUUUGCAUGUGAUAAAUGGAAAAUAUUUUGAUCAAUUUAUAAAGAAAAGGUAAUGCUUUGUUAACUUCAAUGAAAUAGUUUUUAACCCUAGAAGGUGCAAGAAGUCGUUCAAAAAAUUGAAAUAGUUGGUAAAUGUUUCUAUAGAUGUGUCGUGUGUAUCUCUUUGCAAGCUCAGUUAGUCACUUAAUUUUAGUAAAUAUAUCAUAUAAGAAUCUUAAUAAUAAUCAAAGUUCAUUAAUUUUUUUCAUUAAACUUUUAAUAAAAUUUUUUUAUUUCUCUUUUAGCUUUUUAUGGUAGAUAAGAGACACAUAAAUCUUUUGGUGGAAAUAAAAAUGUAAAGAAAUAGACAGAUAUAAAAAUUUAAACACUAGUGACGAAUGACGCAAAACUUCAUAAACAGGGUUUUAUCAGCCAAAUUCGCAAAAAAAAAUUGGGUCGUUCUAAGCAAAUUCACAAUAAUCAAAGCAAAUAUGAUUACACUAGGUGAGAUUGAUGGUUAUAAUUGUGAUUCUUUAAAAAUUAAAGCAAAAAUAACAGUCACAGGAAAGAGGGUUACAAUUGUCACUCUUUAAAAAUUGGAUCUUGCACUUUGUUAAAAUAUUUCUCAAUAUAAAACAAUACGCUUAGGUGUAUGUGUAGUUUGAUUUGCAAGAGCAAAGAGUAUACUUGAAGAAAUAACACACAAAAAUUAUGAUGGUUAUUUAAUGUGGGCUAGUUUUUUGUUGUACAAGGCUAAAACAGAUAAGAAAAUUUCUGCCACAUCAUUUUGGAGGAGAUUUUUGAGGUUCAUUAGAGGAGACUCAUGUCGAAGAAAUUCAACAUCAGAAGAGGCACGAAGCUUUGCAAAAAAAUCUGCACAUUGAUUCUCUUCCCUAAGGGUGUGAUUAACCAUAACAUUUCCCUGCUCCAAUAACACUUUUAUAUCUUGGAUUAAAACAGAAUAAGCAUGAAACCUCAUUGGGGGGACCAUUGAGGAUGUUGAUACAAUGUAAAGCAUCAGAGUAGCAAACAAAAUCAAGAAUACCCAUAUAUUUGGCCAACAAGAGACCUUUAUAGAUAGCAUAGAGCUCAUCAUACAAGAUCAGAUGAAUUUUGAAUGUAUCCAGAAAAGCCUAACAAGAAAAAACCUGCAUAGUUUCUUAAAAUUCCUCCAUAGCCAGCUCUUACUGGAGAUCCAAGACAACUUCCAUCAACAUUAAGGUUGACACAAGAAUGAUUAUUGUUGGUCCACUUGAUGAAUUGUCUUCAUAGAUAGUAUUAGAGAUGGAAGUAUAACAAGCUUUGAGGGUAUCAACCAUGCCUUGAAUGUUGAAGGAUAAUUUAGCAUUUGACCAAUUCUCAUUGCCUAAGCACAUCAUGUUUCGAUUCCUCCAAGCCCACCAUAAUAUGGGCUAGUAUAGUCUUCGCAACUGUGAGAUUUCACUAUAGUAUUUAGAUAGAUGUUUUUUCUAUCAUGUGCAAUAGACAAUAAUUACAUCAAAGUUUCACCGGAAAUGAUACUGACAGCAAAACGGUUAACCAAUACCCAAACAACAAAAGGGGUUAUGGCACCAAUCAUGAAAAUUAUAAUAAAAUGUAACAGAAUAAGCUUUAGACAUGAGAAGAAAAGUAGCUUGAUAUUUUCCAAAAGCUGAGAUGGAGUGCUUUUUUUUUUUUUUUUUGCACGGAAAAUUCUAGCGUUCCCUUCCUUCCAAAUUAGUCAAGUGCUUGCAAACUUAAGUACAUAAAGGAGCACCGAGCUUUAGAGAUACCUGAAGAAAUAUUGAUCUGAAGAUAAUGAGCUGAUAUGGUUAAAGGGUUAACCGAAGAAACACCUAACCAAAGAUGAACCAACUGCCAAACCUGACCAAAUACUUCGCAAUGCAAGAAUAACUGAUCCGCUGAUUCAAUAUUUCCACAACCAGAGACACAAACUGAGCAUCUUCCUGAAUAAUCCUUCUCCGAUAUAAAUUGUCCUUCAUAGGCACUCUAUCACGGAGAAGCCGCCAAGCAAAGACUGAAACUUUAAGCAGGACAUUUUACCUCCAGAUGCUAGGCGCAGAAGCUGAUGUAGCAGAAGGCAUGGUUGCAAACUCAGCCAACAGAGAAUGGUAAACACCACGCACCGUAUAACUUGCUACUAAAUCAGGAAUCCAAUACAAGACAUCAUUAAUAUUAACCUGCAACACAACAAUUAGUAACAACAAUGUACACUCCACUAACUGCUCCUCCUCCCAGGCCCUCAAUCCCCUUCUCCACUUCCACGCCUCCCCUCCCUCGUCCCACCCCAGCUGGAACAUUUGCGCAGCAAUUAAAAAUUUAUUUUCAGACAAAUCAAAUAACCGAUGAAAACGAACCUGCAAGGGAACCUCACCUACCCACCUAUCAAACCAAAAUAAAGUACCUGCACAAUUUCCGACCUUUAAACAAACAUUAGAAAACCAAGUACCCACCAUCGAACCAACACCAUCCCGCAUAUUAGCAAUUUCCUUCCACCACGUCGACCCAUCCCUUCCGCCUGCCUGAACUCGGCCCUCCACUAGCCCAUACCUAGCGGCGAAGACAUUAUAUCAUAAGCCAUGUGAAGGUGAAAAACACAAGAAGGGGGGGGGGGUUGAAUUGUGUUUUCUUUUUCUCUUAAAAAGGGAUUCUUCUUCUGAUAAAACUUCAGAAGCAGUUUGAUUGCUUCUGAUGAAAUGAUCAGAGUCAGAUUGCAGCGGAAAAGAACAGAGCAGAGAAAAGAAAGACAAAGACACAAGCAGUUAUCCUGGUUCCUUCCACAACACGGAAGUAGUCCAGUCCCCCUUGCACUUCCAAGGAGAUUUCACUAUAAUCACAAAGAUUACAACUGCUCAAUACUUUCUAAGUAUGAGACUUCACAAAAAUGCUCAAGCACACACGCAAGAGUCUUCCAAUGCUCAAGCACUAAGCAAGAGACUUCUAAUGCUCAAGCACGCAGGCAAGAGACUUCUAAUCAAACAAAAAUACAGAGAAUUGAGUUUGAAUUGAACACUUGAUAUACAAUCAGUGGUGUUCACAAUGCAAUACAGAAAAGACUCUAGACUUUGAAUUUCUAAGAUGUAUCAAAUCAGUGCAGAAAUUCAGUGUGCUUUGUAGAAUCAAAUUGACAGAGUUUUGGCGCUUUUGAACUUAUGUAUCUCUCUCUGUUAUCUUCAAGUCUUCACUCCUUUAUAUAGAGGCGUGAAAGAGACGUUGAGAUAAUCAGCACGUCUAAAGAGUCGUUUGAAAUCCUUUGAUUAUCCACCAGUGAUCCUUUGCCUGAUUUGGGUGUAGUCCUUUGAAGAAUAAACUUCAAAUUCAUUCCCAUCUUGAGUGUACAAUUCUGCAGGCAUGGCUGUUGUUUUGUCUUGUAGCGUAGACAGAAAACAGAGUAGUGGAGGUAGUGGUUGUACACUUGUACUUUGUCAACUCUAUUAACGAGAGACAAGAGCUCAGUGCUAUCCAUAUAUCCGUUGAUACCUCCCUUUCAAUUCUUCGUUCUUCUUUGAUAAGACUGAAUUGAAAAUCAGCUACUUUGAAUCUUCAGUUUGAUUAAAGGAUCAAAUGUAGCUUCUGGUGAAGAUAUUGCUUCUGAUGAAAACUUUUGCUUCUGAUGACUUUCUGCUUCUGAUGACGUCAUCUCUUCAGGAGCAGUUUAGCUUCAGGAGCAGUUUUCUUCAGAUGCUCAGAAUUUCUUUUUCUUUCCAUUGUUCUUCCAAGACCUAUUGAAAUAACUUGAGUAGCCUUUGGUCCUGUACACUUGAACAAUUAUUAGUAAUAACCAAUUGACAAUUUUUAAUACCUUGUUAUCAUCAAAACUUAAUAAGGUUCAUUGUGAAACACAUUUUGUUCCAACAAUCUCCCCCUUUUUGAUGAUGACAAACAAUAGUAUUUAAAAUGUUCAAUUGUUGUUGAUCUAAUUAAUAAGUUGACUACUGGGACAGAGGUUUGUAAGCUCCCCCUGAGUCUAAUAGAUCUUUAAGGUGAGGUUUGUAAGCUCCCCCUAAGUUCUAUUCUUAUUAAUUAAAUUUCAAUAAAAUACUUAUAAAAUCAAAUCAGAAGUAUUUAAAAGAAAUUUAGAGUAGGGCUCAGUGCCUUAAAAAAUACUAUACAUUUACUCCCCCUUUUGUCAUCAACAAAAAGAAUAGAAACAAAAGAAAGAGUAUCAGAGCAAACAGCAUUAAAAACAGUAAAUAUCAUCAGAGUUAAAGCUUGUAAAACAUAUUGAAGGUGAAAAAGCACAAGAUCCAGAAACAAUGAUAAUAUAUAUAAAGAAAGAUUAAGAUACAAAGACACAGCUACUAAGAACAAAAGUAAAAAACAAGCUAGAGUUGGGUGUGCAACUAAGGUUGGGCUUGCUUAUACAACUGUUCUAAGAGAUACUUGAUCUGAUCAUCCUUCUUCUGAAGUAGCUCAUCCUUUUCCCUCAUUCUUCGUUUAUAUCCAGCCUGAAUUCUAGCAGCCCUAGUGAUGUACUCUUCUUCUGGAUAGAAAGGAGUGAUGUCCAGCAGAGGCACAAAGUUCAGCUCUUUCUCCUUAGCUGCUUCAUGCAUGUCAUCCAAAAGCUUCUUCAGCAUAGCAGAGUGAGAUGACACACAUUUAGUUCUAAGCUGAUCCAGCAGCUCAUCAAAGCUCUUCUGAAGAUCCAUCCACUGAUCAUAAUAGUGAAUAGGAGGUGCAGGAACUGUUCUGCGAAGAAUCAGUGCCUGAAUCUCAUCACUAAGUCUAAUCAGCUGUUCCUCUAUAUACUCAGACUCCAGGAUAUGGUCAGGGAUGGGUGAAGGUUCAGUUUGAGUUGUAUUUGAUGUGGAAGGUUGGUCAGAGGUUAAGUCUAUUAUAGUGGGUGAGUCUGGUUGUUGUUGUUGUUCUGUUGUUUGGUCAGAAGCUGUUUGGUCAGGAGCAACUUGUUCAGAAGCAGUUUGCUCCUGAACAGUUUGCUCAGGGAUGGUUUGGGUUUCUGUUUGGGUUUCCAAGACAGUCUUUUCAGAAACUGUCUUAGAGGCCUUAGUGGGUGUUGGUUGCAUUUCACCACCUAGAUGUUUUUCUAAGUUGUGAAGGGUUGAGGAUUCUUGGUGUUGGGGGGUUUCUGAAGUAGUUGCAUCUGAAGCUACUUCAGAGGCUUUUUGUGGAGUUUGGUUAUUUGGUGAGUUUGUUUGGGUAGGUUCAGGUUGUUGUAUACUAACAGGUUCUGGAGUAUCUGGAUAUAGUGGAUGAGUAGUAGGCAAAUUGAAUUUCUCACAAAGUUUUAUCCUAUUUUUUGAAAAUUCUAUUUGAGUACUCUCAUAGUCAAGUGUUCCAUACUCUGUUAGUUUGGUAGGUUUGGUUUUUAGAAGCUUGUUUAUAUGUUGGCUAAGGGGUUGGUCAUCUGAUUCUGUGGAUGAUGAAGAGGGUGAAGAGGGUAGAGAUAGAGACUGAGUAUUAGUUGGAGCUUUAGAUGGAUUACCUGAGGACUGAGCUUCUGGAUGAAUUGCUUCUGGAGCUUUUGAAGCUGGUUCUGAUGAAGUUGCUCCUGAAGCUUGCUUAUUCUUCAAGGCUUGAGAAAGCAGAGUUGCUCCAUACUGAACUGUUUCUUGCUCUAACUCAGAAGCUAAAGCAGCGAUGACAGGAGUAGGCACAUACCCUGCAGCCUUGAGACGCUCAUCCCUUUCUUUUUCAUACAACAUCUUCAUCCUUUUCUUUUCUGCUAUCUUGGAUGCAGAAACCUCCCUAGCAUACUGCCUCAUUUCUUCAGUCAUUUCAAAACUGGGCAUGACUAUGGGCUCAGAAGUUGCAGUCCUUUUUGCCUUCUUGGGGCUUGAGUCUUCAUCCCAAUUUUCUUCCAUUUCUUUCAACAUUUCUUCCCUUCUUCCUUCAGCUGUCUUCAGAUUUUUUGUUAAAUUAGACCUCUUCCUUUUGAUGGUCUGAAGAGCAGCUUCUCUUUUAUUUUUGGGACUUGAAGGCUUUUCAGAAGCAGCUUGAUCAGAAGCAGCUUGUUCAGAACCAGUUUGUUCAGAAGCAGGCUGUUCUGCUGUUUCUUGAGUACUCCUUGUCCUUUUUCUGAUAAGAGGGACAUCAUCCAAAUCCUCCACUUCCUCAAGAAUGGUGGACAUAGCAGAUUUUUCCUUCUUGGCUUUCUUAUGCUUCUGAGCAUCCACCUCAGUAGCAUCUUCAGCAAGGUAUUCUUCCUUGGUGAUCUGCUUCUUUUUAGAUUUUCUGCCUUUGGCCACAGGCAGAUCACCACCAUACAUUUCUUCUGGGAUAUCUUUCAGGCUGAUUUUCUUGUUGUAGUUCUUGUAGUAGUCUAAGAUGUAGGCCCUCUGCACAUCCAGGGGAUCUUUCUUGCAGAUAGGGAUGUGAUGAGUGACUAGAUCAGAUAUGACAUCAGAUUCAUGCAUAUCUGUAUCUAGUUUCCUGCAUGUUGAAAUCAGCCUCAUCUUGACUAAGGUUGCCCCAUUGAUUAUUUUUCCUGUGACUGCUCCCAACUUCUGAUUAUCAUAAAUACCCACGUCUUUCAGGGCACUUAGGAGUCCUCCUUCUUGAAAGAUUAUGGAGAGCAGCCUUCCAUAGGGAACAAACUUCCUGUUCUCCAUCUGGCUCUUCUUGAGUUCUUUGAUCAUGUAUUUAAACAUAUACUUAGGAACGUUCAUUGUUGUUUCCUGAGAGAUGGUGUGAUGCAGAAAGACUUUGUGACCAAGUGAAGGUUGAUCAUUUCCUCCACCUUUGGGAAAAAUGUUUUCAUUCUAGAUCUUCAGCAGCAUUUUCUUUUCCAUGCUUAAGGUGCUGUAAGGCUUAGCAUCCUUUGAUCCGUAGAUAGUGUUGUUUACUAUUUCCUUCCAAGGGCUUGUUCUGGGGUUAGGAAUCUCUUCUCCAUCGUAUGUCCCAGAAGCAUCUCUCCUCAUAGCUUGAGCAAUCACUUGCUCAUUGAUUGUUACAGGAAUCCCCAUGACGUUUGAUCUAAUCUCAGUCCCAGUGAAGGCGAGUAGACCCAUUUCUUCUCUGGUUUUUCCCUCCAAAGUAGGAUCAACCAGAAUCAUCUGAGCUUCUUCCUGUUUAGCAGCAACUUUGUCAAACACUGAAGCUCUUACCCAGAAUUGUCUGACAAGCACUUCAUAAGUAGGACCGUUGAGAAGACUGAAGUAACUCAUUAGCUUCUGCUUCUUGUAGAAUCUUACCAAGUCGCACCCAUGGUGAGUUAGAGAAGUGAAAUCCACAGGAUUUUCCGCUUGAAUGAUUAGCUCCCAUUCCUCAAUAGACAUAGUUCUUCCUUUGAUUUCAUAAGCAGGAGUAUCUAUAUCCAUAUUCGAUGAAGAACCACCGGCAGAACUUGAAGAUGCCAUUGAUUUGAAGUAGAAUUAGGGUUCUAAGGUGUUUUGAGAGGUUGAGAGAAUGUGCUUACUUACACAGAGGGUUGAGAGGAAAUAAGAAAGUGUUUGUUGUGAAGUGAGAAGUGUGUGAAAUGACUUAGUGUUUUUUAUUAAAACGUUUGUAAUUCAGAAGGGACAAACAAACACAACAUUAAUGACAAAUUGGGGGCGCGUGUAAGUAUGUUAAAAAGCGAAUAAAAACAUCAUUGCCCUUUUUGUUAUACUCCAAUACAAAUAGACCACGUCAGAGACUCUUCAGAAAACUACCUUUUGGGUAAUGGGACAGCUGUUACAUAAAGUAACUGCCAACGUUCCCACUAACCAAGCUUUUCAGAAGCAAAGAAUAACACUUCUGAAGUUUUAGUGCUGACGUCAUCUUCAGAAGCACAUUUUCCUCAGAACCUCAGUUAAGAGCUUCUGAUGAACCAAAAUGCUUCUGAAUAAACUUCAGAACCAAACUUCUUAUUCAGAGGCAAGCAAAUUUUCAAUCAGACACAAAAUGCAUGUUCAAAUUUUUCUUAAUAAAAUCAAAUCUUUCAACAGACAAAGGUUUUGUAAAUAUAUCAGCCCAUUGAUGUUCAGUAUCAAUGAAUUGUAUAUCUAAAAUUCCUUUUUGAACAUAGUCUCUGAUAAAAUGGUGUUUGAUUUCAAUAUGCUUGGCUCUUGAAUGUAGAAUUGGAUUCUUUGACAAACAAAUAGCAGCAGUAUUAUCACAAUAAAUGGGAAUACUGUUAGCAUUGAUCUGAUAGUCUUCCAACUGAUGUUUCAUCCAAAGUAGUUGUGUGCAACAACUUGCAGCUGAAAUGUACUCUGCUUCUGCUGUAGACAUAGCAAUAGUUGCUUGUCUUUUGCUUGCCCAGGAUAUCAGAUUCUCUCCCAGGAAUUGACAAUUUCCACUGGUUGAUUUUCUUUCAAUCCUAUCACCAGCAUAAUCAGCAUCACAGAAUCCAAUCAACUUAUAAUCUAGGGAUUUCCUAUACAGGAGUCCAAGAUUAGUUGUUCCUUUCAGAUACCUGAAGAUUCUCUUAACUGCAGUUAAAUGAGAUUCUCUAGGAUCUGAUUGAAAUCUUGCACACAAGCAUACACUGAAUAAAAUAUCAGGUCUAGAUGCAGUGAGGUAUAACAGAGAACCAAUCAUACCUCUGUAUAGCUUCUGGUCUACUACUGUUCCAGUAUCUUCUUUGCUUAAAGUGCAGGUUGGAUGCAUUGGAGUGUUCAUCACUUUACAAUCUUCUAGCUUGAACUUCUUCAGAAGCUCCUUUGUAUAUUUUGUUUGAUGAACAUAUACUCCUUCUUUACUUUGGUUGAUUUGAAUUCCCAGAAAGAAUUUCAAUUCUUCCAUCAUACUCAUUUCAAAUUCAUCCUGCAUUAACUUAGAAAAUUCUUUGCAAAGAGAUGCAUUAGUAGAACCAAAUAUUAUAUCAUCAACAUAUAUUUGCACAAUCAAAAUAUCUUUCUUAAGAGUCCUUCUGAAGAGUGUUGUGUCAACUUGUCCUCUUUCAAAAUCAUUUUUAAUUAAGAAAUUACUUAGUCUAUCAUACCAAGCUCUGGGAGCUUGUUUCAAGCCAUAUAGUGAUUUCUUAAGUUUAUAAACAUGGUCAGGAUGCUUAAGAUCCUCAAACCCAGGAGGUUGUUUAACAUACACUUCUUCUUCAAUGACACCAUUAAGAAAGGCACUUUUGACAUCCAUUUGAUAUAAUAUUAUGCCAUGAUUAAUUGCGUAGGAUAGAAGUAACCUGAUUGCUUCCAAUCUUGCAACUGGAGCAAAUGUUUCAGUGUAAUCAAUGCCUUCUUGUUGACUGUAGCCUUGAGCAACAAGUCUGGCUUUGUUUCUGGUUACUUCUCCUUGUUCAUUCAGCUUGUUUCUGAAUACCCAUUUUGUUCCAAUAAUGUUUUUCUGAAAAGGUUUGGGUACCAGAUCCCACACAUCAUUCCUUUGGAAUUGAUUUAGCUCUUCUUGCAUAGCUAAUAUCCAUCCAUCAUCUGUGAGAGCUUCUUCAACAGUUUUAGGCUCAAUUAUUGAAAGCAGUCCUAUUAAUGAUUCUUCUUGUCUAAAAUGUGAUCUUGUUCUUCUAGGACUAUCUUUGCUUCCAAUGAUUAGCUCCUCAGGAUGUGAAGAUUUGUGCUUGAAUUUAGGUUGAAUAACCUGCUGAGUGUUAUCUUGAAAGUCCUCAGAAGCAAUUUCAUUCUGUACUUUUGGGCUAUGUUCUGCUUCUGAAUUAGACUCAGCUUCUGGAGUGAUUUCAGUUUCUGGACUAGAUUCAACUUCUGUAUACUUUUCAGAUUCAGAAGGUUGAUCAGAUUCUGAUGCAUCUUCAGAAUCAGUUGUACCUGCAUUACUUUCACUUUGCUCUGAAGUUUUACUUUCAGGCUCUCUAUCAUCAAAUUUUACAUGCAUAGAUUCUUCAACACAUUGUGUUUCUGAAUUAUACACUCUGUAUGCCUUUGACCUUUCAGAGUAACCUAAAAAUAUUCCUCUUUGAGCCUUGACAUCAAAUUUCUUCAGAUAGUCUUUAGUGUUUAAGAUGUAACAAGUACAUCCAAACUGAUGAAAGUAAGAGAUAUUGGGUCUUCUUCCUUUAAAGAGUUCAUAUGCUAUUUUCUCCAACAUAGGUCUGAUAUAGAUCCUAUUUUGAAUAUAACAUGAAGUAUUGACUGCUUCUGCCCAAAAAUGUUUAGCUAAGUUGUUUUCAUGGAUCAUGGUUCUGGCCAUUUCUUGUAAGGUUCUGUUCUUUCUUUCUACAACCCCAUUUUGUUGUGGAGUUCUACGAGAAGAAAACUCAUGGUGAAUCCCAUGUUUUUCACAAAAAAGUUCAAAUGGCUCAUUUUCAAAUUCUCCACCAUGAUCACUUCUGACUUUCAAAAUUUUCAAUUCUUUUUCAGAUUGUAUUUGAGUGCAGAAGCUGCUAAACACUUCACAUGCAUAGUCUUUACUUUUAAUGAAUUUUACCCAAGUCCAUCUGCUGUAAUCAUCAACAAUGACUAAUCCAUAUUUACUUCCAUAUAAAGAUGCAGUGUUAACUGGACCAAAAAGAUCAAUAUGGAGUAAUUCUAAGGGUCUGGAGGUUGAUACAAUGUCUUUAGAUUUGAAAGAAUUUUUCACAAUUUUCCCUUUCUGACAUGCACCACAAAGUGCAUCUGAAUGAUAAUCAAUGUUAGGCAAUCCUUUGACCAGUUGUAACUUGCUAAUUUUAGAAAUUAAUCUCCAAUUAGCAUGUCCCAACCUUUUAUGCCAUACCCAUUUUUUAUCAUUCAUUGACAGAAGGCAAACUACCUUCUGAUCAGCCAGAUCAGAGAAAUUUAUUUUAUAGACAUUCUCAACUCUCUUUCCCUUGAAUGUAAUGGAUUUGUCAUCCUUGUUGACUAGUGUGCAGUUGGUCUUACUGAACGUUACAUCAUACCCAUUGUCACAAAAUUGACUAAUGCUCAAUAGGUUAUGCUUCAUACCAUCUACUAGCCACACAUUAUUAAUUGAGAUGGAGGAAUUACCAAUAGUACCUGUACCAAUGAUCUUUCCAGUUUGGUUGCCACCAAACUUCACUUCUCCUCCAUCUUUCAUUGUAAGGGUAAGGAACAAAGCUUUCUCUCCAGUCAUGUGCCUUGAACAUCCGCUGUCUAGGUACCAUGACCUUUGUUUCUCUCUUGCCCUUAAGCACACAUCAUUUUCAUCUUCUGAAUCUGAUUCAGCUUCUGAUACUGUUUCUGAUGAUACUGCUGCCACUAACCCAACGGCUGCCUUAGCAUCAUCAUCAGCUUCUUCUUUAUCAGAACCAGAUUCACUAUCCAAAUCUUCCCAGGUCGCCAUCAAGCUCUUUUUGAUUUGCUUUCUGAAUUUACUGGAGUUGAAGCUUGAUUUCUUGGAUUUGCCUUUAAACUUCUCCUUCUGAAGAUCAGGGCAAUCAGCAAUGAAAUGACCAGGCUUCUUACAAUUGAAGCAUCCCUUCUGAUCUUCUUUCUUGAAGUUCUUGUAGCUACCUCUCUUGCUCAAAAAUUUCUUCUGCUUCCUUGCCAGAUACUCAAGCUUGUUGGACAGCAUAGCCAUCUUUACAGAUUGAUCUUCAUCAGAAUCUCCAUCAGGUGAUUCUUCUUCAGAUUCACUGGCUUUGUAGGCUUUGGAAGACUUUGAGGUCUUUCCUUUAGAUGGUAAAGCAAUGGAUUUACUCUUCUUAGAGGUUUCAUGCUCAUUUAGACUCAUUUCAUGCACUUUGAGUGAGCUAACAAGAUCUUCAACACUUAAAGUAUUUAGAUCCUUAGCUUCCUCAAUGGCAGUUACUUUGGGUCUCCAUCUUGAAGGUAGGCUUCUCAAAAUCUUACUAACAUGAUCAGAAGAAACAUAGCUUUUCUUCAGUAUUUGCAAUCCAGAAACUAAAGUUUGAAAUCUUGAGUACAUUUCUUCUAUACUCUCAUCAUCCUUCAUUCUGAAAAGUUCAUACUGAUGAACUAGCAUCAAAGCUUUAGCCUCUUUUACUUUCUUGCUGCCUUCAAAGUUUGCACAAAGAGAAGCAAACAUAGCUUUCGCAGUAGAUUUGUCACUCAUUUUCAUGUAUUCGGUGCGAGGUAUAGAAGCCACAAUGAUUCCUCUUAUCUUGUGGUGUUUCUUAUAAAGCUUCUUCUGAGCAGGAGUAUGUAUUCUUCUGUCUAUAGCAGCUCCUUCUUCAUCCAAAUCCAGAUCAUCAACUCCAUCUUCCAGUAUAUCCCAUAGCUCUUCAUCCAAUCCCAUGAUAAAGCUGUACAUAUUAGUUUUCCACCAUGAAAACUCUUCUGGAUCUCCAUUAAACUUUGGAGCUUUUCCAGAGUCUGUUUUCUUGUCAGCAGUAUCAUAGUCAUGCUUGACACUUGUGUAUUUUGUAGUAACUGAUUCCUCAUCUCCAGACAUGUUUUUCUAAUAGAUCUUGAACUGUAACACGGUUAAGUGCUGUGAUAACAGAGCAAGCUCUGAUACCAAUUGAAGGUGAAAAACACAAGAAGGGGGGGGGGGGGGGGGGUUGAAUUGUGUUUUCUUUUUCUCUUAAAAAGGGAUUCUUCUUCUGAUAAAACUUCAGAAGCAGUUUGAUUGCUUCUGAUGAAAUGAUCAGAGUCAGAUUGCAGCGGAAAAGAACAGAGCAGAGAAAAGAAAGACAAAGACACAAGCAGUUAUCCUGGUUCCUUCCACAACACGGAAGUAGUCCAGUCCCCCUUGCACUUCCAAGGAGAUUUCACUAUAAUCACAAAGAUUACAACUGCUCAAUACUUUCUAAGUAUGAGACUUCACAAAAAUGCUCAAGCACACACGCAAGAGUCUUCCAAUGCUCAAGCACUAAGCAAGAGACUUCUAAUGCUCAAGCACGCAGGCAAGAGACUUCUAAUCAAACAAAAAUACAGAGAAUUGAGUUUGAAUUGAACACUUGAUAUACAAUCAGUGGUGUUCACAAUGCAAUACAGAAAAGACUCUAGACUUUGAAUUUCUAAGAUGUAUCAAAUCAGUGCAGAAAUUCAGUGUGCUUUGUAGAAUCAAAUUGACAGAGUUUUGGCGCUUUUGAACUUAUGUAUCUCUCUCUGUUAUCUUCAAGUCUUCACUCCUUUAUAUAGAGGCGUGAAAGAGACGUUGAGAUAAUCAGCACGUCUAAAGAGUCGUUUGAAAUCCUUUGAUUAUCCACCAGUGAUCCUUUGCCUGAUUUGGGUGUAGUCCUUUGAAGAAUAAACUUCAAAUUCAUUCCCAUCUUGAGUGUACAAUUCUGCAGGCAUGGCUGUUGUUUUGUCUUGUAGCGUAGACAGAAAACAGAGUAGUGGAGGUAGUGGUUGUACACUUGUACUUUGUCAACUCUAUUAACGAGAGACAAGAGCUCAGUGCUAUCCAUAUAUCCGUUGAUACCUCCCUUUCAAUUCUUCGUUCUUCUUUGAUAAGACUGAAUUGAAAAUCAGCUACUUUGAAUCUUCAGUUUGAUUAAAGGAUCAAAUGUAGCUUCUGGUGAAGAUAUUGCUUCUGAUGAAAACUUUUGCUUCUGAUGACUUUCUGCUUCUGAUGACGUCAUCUCUUCAGGAGCAGUUUAGCUUCAGGAGCAGUUUUCUUCAGAUGCUCAGAAUUUCUUUUUCUUUCCAUUGUUCUUCCAAGACCUAUUGAAAUAACUUGAGUAGCCUUUGGUCCUGUACACUUGAACAAUUAUUAGUAAUAACCAAUUGACAAUUUUUAAUACCUUGUUAUCAUCAAAACUUAAUAAGGUUCAUUGUGAAACACAUUUUGUUCCAACACCAUGUCUCUCUGUCACCAACCUCCAGCACCACUUCCCCAGCAAUUCUAAGUUAAAUUCCCUAAUUCUCCUCACCCUCAAACCACCAACCUCAUUAUCCAAACAAAUAGUAUUCCAAUGAAUCCAAGAAAUUUUCCUAUUAUCCUCACAUCCUCCAAAAAAAAAAAACAAAUAAAAAGAUAUUCGAUAGAGGAGCUUGUUGUUGGCGCCUUUUUGGAACUGCGGCGGAUUCUGCGCAACCUCCAACAAAGCUACCAAGGUACUCAACUUCUCUAACUCGCCCCGCAGUGUUGUCACCUCUUCACGAAGCUCGUGGAUUUCUUGCUCGAUCGUAUCCAUUUCCUUUUUAGUGUUUGCAUGAGUAUUGUAGGUGCGAGUUGGCUUAGGGUGAGGACGUCGAGCCACUUUCGAGGCAGAUUGACCUUUUGUAUGAAAGAGCAAUAUGUGAGACUCAGACCUUUGAAACUAUGAAUUCAUAAUGAUGCAUGAUUUUUAUGAAAAAAGGACAAUUUUAUUUAUUUUUGAAGGACUUUCAAAGCAUUUGUGAACAUCACAGAGAACCUUGUUUUAUUUAACAAUUUUUUAGGUUUACAAUCAGUUCCUUUUUUAGAAGCAAAAAAAAAAACGCUAGGAAAAGAAGUCCCUAACAAAAGCUAAAGUCUAGUUAAGACUUUUGAAGAUGUAUUUCUUGGUGCUCCUUUUUACAAGGUCCAUAUAUGUGAUGUUUACAAGACGACUUAUCUAAGUCCUUCGAUAUUAAUGAGAAUUUUUUUUGAAUGCAUGCAUGCAUGAUAAUGCAACAAAAACAUUGAAAACAUGGUUUAUGGUUUAGGCCCAUGGUGAUGGACUCAAGGGUAAGAGCCCCCAUAUGGUAAGGACUAUGGUUUCAUUUGUUGCUGCAUUAUGGGUUCUACCAAGUUCCCAAAGUCAUUGACCCUUUCCGGAUAUCAUUGGCUUACAAGACUGACUUCUGGUCCAACAAUAUUCGCAAGAGAAUCUAUGCAGCUCGACUGAUCUCAUUUUCUUUUUCUGGAUCUUCGAGAUGUACGUUGUGAAAUGAAUCUUAGACAUUUUCAUGAAUAAAUUUUUUUGCACUAAAUCAAUAUCCUUUUGUAAAAUAGGGCAGUUUUGUAAAAUAUUCGCAGAUUGUACAUGCUCAAGAAUAGGGAUCAAAUCCCAUUUAAUAUUUUCGCCAAUCAUCGCAUAUGUUGCAUUAAACAAAGACAUAUGGAAUGAAGUGCUUACCUUGGUUUGGUCAACUUGCUUUUCGACUUCACUUCCUUUCUCCAUAGUUUAAUCCACAUUAAUCAAUUGCUGCUUCAUGUGAUCAACUGGUUUCGACGUGAUGUAUGUGUCCAUGUUGACCACUUUCUUUGGUACAUCUUGCUACAAAAGUUUCUUUGAUGUUGGCUAAUCUUUAUCGAAAGGUUUCUUCCUGAGAACAAUUGUUUGUGGGGAUGGAUUCAUUUGCAAGUCGAAACGGAACGACCUAUGACAUGGUAAUGAGACCAACAUUCAAGGAGUCGGUCGUAAGUUACUUGUCAUAAAAAUUGUAUCCAUAUCCAUUAAAAUUCUUGCAUAGUGACCGAAAAGUUUGUUCUGUUUGUAUCGUCUAGAUUUAAUAGUGUGCCAACGACACUAGCAAUUUUGAAGAGCAUCUGAUCCUACCAAUAUUCUUGUGGCAAAUAAAUUAAACGGAUCCAAACCCGUACAUGAGUUUGACAUUGAGUAAUAAGAUUAAAGUCCUCUUGCCGUUGCAAUAUUUGAUGGACACCCGAUUUAAGAUUCAUAGUGUUCCUAGCUCAUACUAAACAUAAAUCUUCAUAGUUUGAAAACUUAAAAUCAUAAAACCCACGUGUGAGAGAAAUCAUUUCCCAUCGCCAUGUAGUAUUUCACAGCUUGGAAAGCUUAAGCAUCAAAUCCUUCACGCUAUACGACUUAUCUCCUUUGUGACUCUAAAAUGAAAAGCUAUUAGAAAUAAUUUUUCACAAUUUUAUUUUUUUUUUGAAAUGUUAACUAGUGCCUUCGGGGCACUAGUUAAAGACUACAAGUGGUAAGUAUUUAUGAAAAUGUGUGUAUUAAUUGCAUUGGAAAUUGAAAUAUUUGAUUUUUUUUAAAAUAAUUGUUUAUAUUAGUAUGCUUAAAGAGUGACCCGAAGGCACUCGUUAACAAGACUCUCCAAAACAAGGAGAUAACACGUGUACAAACUAAAACUUUUUUUUAAAUGAUUUUUAUGGUUAAUAUGUUGGAACAAAAUGUGUUUAACACUACCCUUUAGAGUUUUGAUGAUAACAAGGUAUUAAAAAUUGUCAAUUGGAUAUGCUAAUAUUUGUUCAACUGUGCAGGACCAUAGACAAAAAUUUAAUGUCUCUUUGAAGCUUAGAUUCUGGAAGAACAAAUGAGAGCAAUGGAAUCAACAAGAUGGAAGCUUGAAGCAUCUGAAGAAAAGAGGUUCUGAAGUCAAGUGCUCCUGAAGUGAUGAUGUCAUCAGAAGCAAGUUCAUUAGAAGCACCUCAUCAAAAGCAUUAUCACCAGAAGCAGUUUUUCAUCAGAAGCUGAAGAUCAUCAGAAGAUGAGAGAAUUAAAGCUUCAAAGGCUGUUCAAAAUAUUUAAUCAUCAGAAGUCAAAAGAGUGAAGCAACGGCUAAUUCAAAAGGAUUUGAAUGCAUUAGAUGUUUGUUCUUUGAAGAGCGUUGAAAAAGGACAAUUGUACGAAGUGUACAACCACUACUCUCUUUGUGUCUACAUCAGGACAAGAAUAACAGCUAUGCCUGCAACGAUGUUCCUCCAUACUUGGAAUGGAUUUGAAAUUGAUCCUUCAUAGUAUAAUAACCAAAUCGGGAAAAAGAUCAUUGG
rnacentral:lncRNA from 1 species